UUACCAAGUUCCCAGAGAUAACAUAAUAUAACAUACUUAGAAAUAUAUUACAUAACUAAGCUUGAUGAAGAAAAGACAUAAUAUCCAAUACUUAGAAAUAUAUUACACUAGAUAAGGCCCGCCUAUUUAGGCGGGUGUACCUGAAAUUUUUAAAUACUUGAACGGGUCUAAACUUCAAAAUCCAAAAAACUCGAACCAGAACCUGAAUACGUAUCCAAACAUAUCUCAAAUAUAAAUAUAUAUUAGUUACAUUUAUACUUAUAUAUAGAAAAUAUUAGGAUUUUUUUGGAUAUAUUAGUUAUUUUUGUGUAUUUUUAGAUAUAUUCAAGCAAAACUACUCGUGUUGUUUUGGAAAUUUUUGAAAUUUUCAAAUAAUUUAAUAGAUUUGCACACAAAAUUUGAUAUUUCAAUAUAUAAAUAAACUCGAACCCGAACCCGAACCCAAACUGAACCCGACCCGAAAUCUUAAAUUACCCGAACGGGUCCUAAACUUCUAAACCCGAAAACUUGAACCCGAAAUACCCGAUCCGAAUACCCAAACGCCUAGGCUUAAUAAUU
rnacentral:sRNA from 1 species